UCUUCUUCUUCAGUCAAAAUCUGUCACCAAUCCUCACCAUUGCUUCUUCAAGUUGACAAAUUCAGAUUAUUUACUUCACCAUCUUCCUCCCAACCACUGAUUUUAACUCCAAAUUUCCCUAUAAAUAGUCAUGGAUACAACACCAAGAACACACACAACAAAACCUUCAUCAUCUCUUCUCUCUAAUCAGAAAUUCGGUCAAUAAUUGCCGGAAAAAUUGCAACUAAAAGAAACACAAAAGAAAACCCAAUUUUUACAACUCUCUCUUCUGUUUCGGUCCCCCCUCAACGAAACACUCCCGUCGGCCACCGCGCGACGCCGGUCUCACGCCACGCUCAGUCGCCCCCCCUCACCUCGCCGUCGCUCGCCGGCCGCCUCGCACGUCACUCGCCGGAGAUCCGAAGCACUCACGCUCAGCACUCUCUCUCCUCUUCGCACCCUCUCUCUCCUCUUCUUCGCGCGUCACUGCUGCACGCGCAGCACCGCCGACGACCCUCGCGCGCCGAACCACCAGAGACCACCGCCGGAGAUCGUUGCUGCUCGUCACCGCCGUACACCGAGCCAGAACCGAAGUCACGGUGCCACGCUUUGUCGCCCCUGCUCUUAGUAGCAGAGAUUAAAGAAGAUAAAGGAUAUUACAAGCCUCCCCCGGCUAUCAUGAUUGGUAAGCAGGAAUUCAGGUAUGGAAGAACAGUUGUGGAUCACUGAUAGACUGCAUUAUGGAGAUUAUGUAUGAUUCUAUGAGGUUUUAGGAUAUUUUGUAUGAUGGAUAAACAAGUAUUAUUAUACGAUGAGUAUUUGUAUAGUGAAUUUUUAUUUUUAUUUGUGGGCCAUAACCCACAUGAUUAGGUUAUGCUUCCGCUGACGAUUAAGGUUAUGUAAUUUUGUCGGGGCGUUACAGGGCCACUUUUGACCGCAACCCUUGGGCUUUUUUCCUCUAGUGAGUGAAGCUCAUAUUAGUGUUUGUUUGCUUUUUGUUUCAUGUUUAAUUCUAAUAGCUUCUAUGUUGUAAUUUCGUUUUUUAGUUAAUGCAAAUUUUCGCGAUGUCAAA